rnacentral:rRNA from 1 species
AACGUAGGAGCCAAGCGUUAUCCGAAUUCACUGGGCGUAAAGGGCUCGUAGGCGGCCAACUAAGUCAGACGUGAAAUCCCUCAGCUUAACUGGGGAACUGCGUCUGAUACUGGAUGGCUUGGAUCCGGAAGAGGGAUGCGGAAUUCCAGGUGUAGCGGUGAAAUGCGUAGAUAUCUGGAGGAACACCGGUGGCGAAGGCGGCAUCCUGGGCCGGUAUUGACGCUGAGGAGCGAAAGCCAGGGGAGCAAACGGG